GGAAUAUUGGACAAUGGGGGCAACCCUGAUCCAGCCAUGCCGCGUGAGCGAUGAAGGCCCUAGGGUUGUACAGCUCUUUCCCCCGUGAAGAUAAUGACGGUAGCGGGCGAAGAAGCCCCGGCUAACUCCGUGCCAGCAGCCGCGGUAAUACGGAGGGGGCUAGCGUUGUUCGGAAUUACUGGGCGUCAAGCGCGCGUAGGCGGAUGUUCAAGUCGGGGGUGAAAUCCCGGGGCUCAACCCCGGAACUGCCUCCGAUACUGGACGUCUGGAGGACGGAAGAGGCGAGUGGAAUGCCGAGUGUAGAGGUGAAAUUCGUAGAUAUUCGGCGGAACACCAGUGGCGAAGGCGGCUCGCUGGUCCGUUUCUGACGCUGAGGCGCGAAAGCGUGGGGAGCAAAC
rnacentral:rRNA from 1 species